rnacentral:lncRNA from 1 species
UCCCACAAGGAAAAACUGCCCUCUGGCCCCACAUGGCAAUCACCUCUGGCUCAUUGUUAUCCCCGUUUUAUUGGAGUUCUCCUAUAACCCUGCUGCUUUCUCUGUGUGUGGCAGGCUUCUCCGAGGAAGACGAGGCACAGGGACAAAAGGAAGAAACCGAAAGGUUUUGGACGCUGUGAGAAAGGGUUGGAGGAGACUUGUGCACCCCUAGAGACAUGCUGCCUCAUGCACCUGGAGCAGCUCCCCUGGGCUCACCGCCUCAGGAUCAUUGAGAGGAAUAUUCAGUACCUGGCCAGACACCAGGAUGAAGUUCUGAUACCGUAAGGCAACUGCACGGGGGGCACCAGACUGGGGGCUG